AGUAAGCAUCGCCCCUUCCAGACACUGCUCAUUGAUGGUCACUAUGGGACAGUCUCUAAGUCACUUCAGCAUGGACGUGUGCAUCAAAAUUGAAGAUACAUCUAAACUACGCAUGGGGAAAUGCGGCUUCAUGGCAGAUUUUGCUGCAGCUAUUAUCAGAAAACUGAGAAAUGCCUUCUGCUCUUUCAUUCAUCACAUCACAGUAGCAAUGUUAAACUCAACUAAGAAGAAUGAAUGACAUUAAGCCCUCAGUCUGGCUAAAGAUGGCUCAGCUCCACACCAGGUCGGAAUGUUCCUGAAAGGUGAUGAAUGGGGAGAGACUCUUGCAUUUGGUUCUGGUUCCAAAUCUCCCCACUGGGAUCCCCUAAUGAAAGCAGAACUUGUGGCAGCUGGAAAUUCCGAGGUUAAUCAAAGCAGGGGCAAGGGCAGGCCUGGAGAGGAGACCAGAGAGGUCUGUCCUCUCCCAUGCAGUCUUUGGUUCAGACUCCCUUGCCUAAUGGCAUGAAGACUAUGUGCUCUGGCCACACAAUUUUCAGUUCCCCAGAGACACCUUUUCAUUCCCUGAUGUAGAACGUGACAGAGGCCUUUCACUUGCCCAGGCCAUCUGACCCACAAUGCACCUGUCACACUCAGCAACCAAGGUAGCCUGGGGGUAGGAUGCGGGGAAGGGCAACAGUUUUGAAAUAUGGGGUUAUUUGGGUGUCUGGGGAAUUCGAGAGAACUUGUGACUGCACUUGGGAGGGAGGCUGGUGACUUAAAUAAACAUGGACCGUUCCAGAACAAA